GCAGGAGACGCUGUUACUGUUGGUUUUAUUCAUUGAUUUUUUAAGUUAUAACAGCUAGUACUAAUGGCAGCAAGAGCUCCUUCAGCAGCUCUCUGUACACAGGAACCCUGGUUUUCCUUGCUCAGGGUUUCAGGCUGCAGGGACGUGGUGUGACUGGGAAGGAAACGCUCUGCCCUCUGCUGCUGGCGGAGCUGGCUGGCCAGAGAGUGCUCAGGCUGAAAUGGGGCCUGCAGCUUCAAGAUGAGCAGAUAGGUGAUGUGAGCAUCUAAUGGGGGUCUCUUCAGAUGACUGUGAAGUUACAGUUGCCAGAGGAAGACCUGAAGCAGGGUAUUUACAGUCCCUCUCUUCAUUGUUACCUGCCUGAGCCUCCUAGGGCAGCAGCACCGUGUGUACAGGAGCAGUACAAAGGCAGACGCCGGGCAGGCUGAACACAUCGCAGCAUGGUGGCGAUUCCUAAAUGGUAUCUGAAGAACUGGAACAUCCUUCCCUGCCCGGGGAUUAGAAAGGAGCGAGGCGAGAAGAGAGUCCAUCACCGCUGUUUACAGGAGGUUUUUUCUUUAUGUCAUAUUUUAAAUUUAUCAAAUAUUUAGCUUAGGCAAAUGUAGUUGAAUCAUAAUAGACUUCUCAAACUUGUAGGGAAAAAAGGUUGGUUAUUGACUCUCUCCUGUAUAAAUAACUGCUACAAGAAGUAAGAAAACAUAUAUCCUGCCCUGCUCUUCUCUUGCAUCCUCUUCACUCAGCAUAAAAGACAUUUUAACAGAAUGGAUUGGAGGAAGCUUGUGUUGGGAGAGCACAAUGAAGCUGUAGUCGAAAUCUGGUCCUCUCAGUGGAGCUGCAUCAGCACCCUAAUGCGCUCGGACACUGCCGCGGCUGGGUGCCCGCUGCUGACUUUGGGAACGCGCUCUCCAUCUUUGUAGUGCGGCUGAAAUCACUUUUCAGAGCUUCAUUUCUCUGCCCUUGAUUCCUCAUAAACUUUGUCCCUGAUUAUGUGAAGAAUGUAACAGAUGAUGCAAGUCAAUUUGUUCGUGUCCGCGGUAUCAGGCAUUCGUUGGUUGAUUGUGCUCACGGCACGAUUAUGCUCCGUAUUUAUAAAAGAAUGACAGCGUAAUUAGUCAGUCUCAGGAGAUUAAACAUACGUUUUUGUUGGCUAAA